UCAAAUGGGAUGGAUAAACGAUUGAGAUGUGUUGAAAUAUAUUUGAUCAAUACCUUUAACACAUGCUUUCCCACCCGAUGCAAAGUUCCACGCAGCACAUUAAGAGGUAAGUAAAUACAUGUCAAAUUUCAAGGUCGCAAAUUCUCUACCUAUGUUAUGCUGUGUAAAGUCUCUUGCCUAGGACUGGCUGCUUCCGAUCUGUUUAUCAAAGAUUGUAUAGUUGUAUGUAUGUUGUGUUGCCUCCGGUGCCUCUGUUUUGUUCCAUUGGUCUAUAUCUCUGUUUUGGUACCAGUACCAUGCUGUUUUGAUUACUGUAGCCUUGUAGUAUAGUUUGAAAUCCGGUAGUAUGAUGCCCCCCGCUGUGUUCUUUUUGCUUAGAAUUGACUUGGCUAUGCGGGCUCUCUUUUGGUUCCAUAUGAAGUUCAUGGUGGUUUUUUCCAGUUCUGUGAAGAAAGUCAAUGGUAGCUUGAUGGGGAUAGCGUUGAUUCUGUAAAUUACUUUGGGCAGUAUAGCCUUUUUCACGAUAUUAAUUCUUCCUAACCAUGAACAUGGACUGUUUCUCCAUCUGAUUGUGUCCUCUCUGAUUUCAUUGAGCAGUGGUUUGUAGUUCUCCUUGAAGAGGUCUCUUACGUUCCUUGUGAGUUGUAUUCCAAGGUAUUUUAUUCUUUUUGUAGCAAUUGCGAAUGGCAGUUCGCUCUUGAUUUGGCUUUCUUUAAGUCUGUUAUUGGUGUAGACGAAUGCUUGUGAUUUUUGCACAUUGAUUUUAUAUCCUGAGACUUUGCUGAAGUUGCUUAUCAGUUUCAGGAGUUUUUGGGCUGAGGCAAUGGGGUCUUCUAGGUAUACUAUCAUGUCAUCUGCAAAUAGAGACAAUUUGGCUUCCACCUUUCCUAUUUGAAUACCCUUUAUUUCUUUUUCUUGCCUGAUUGCUCUGGCUAGAACUUCCAGUACUAUAUUGAAUAGGAGUGGUGAAAGAGGGCAUCCUUGUCUAGUGCCAGAUUUCAAAGGGAAUGCUUCCAGUUUUUGCCCAUUCAGUAUGAUAUUGGCUGUUGGUUUGUCAUAAAUAGCUUUCAUUACUUUGAUAUACGUUCCAUCGAUACCGAGUUUAUUGAGGGUUUUUAGCAUAAAGGGCUGUUGAAUUUUGUCAAAUGCCUUCUCUGCGUCAAUUGAGAUAAUCAUGUGGUUUUUGUUUUUGGUUCUGUUUAUGUGGUGAAUUACAUUUAUAGACUUGCGUAUGUUGAACCAGCCUUGCAUCCCUGGGAUGAAUCCUACUUGAUCAUGAUGAAUAAGUUUUUUGAUUUGCUGUUGCAAUCGGCUUGCCAAUAUUUUAUUGAAGAUUUUUGCAUCUAUGUUCAUCAUGGAUAUUGGCCUGAAGUUUUCUUUUCUCGUUGGGUCUCUGCCGGGUUUUGGUAUCAGAAUGAUGUUGGUCUCAUAAAAUGAUUUGGGAAGGAUUCCCUCUUUUUGGAUUGUUUGAAAUAGUUUUAGAAGAAAUGGUGCCAGCUCUUCCUUGUGUGUCUGGUAGAAUUCGGCUGUGAACCUGUCGGACAUGGGCUUUUUUUGUGUGGUAGGCUCUUAAUUGCUGCCUCAACUUCAGACCUUUUUAUUGGUCUAUUCAUAGUUUCAGCUUCCUCCUGGUUUAGGCUUGGGAGGACACAGGAAUCCAGGAAUUUGUCCAUUUCUUCCAGGUUUACUAGUUUAUGCGCAUAUAGUUGUUUGUAAUAUUCUCUGAUGAUGGUUUGAAUUUCUGUGGAAUCUGUGGUGAUUUCCCCUUUAUCAUUUUUUAUUGCAUCUAUUUGGUUGUUCUCUCUUUUCUUUUUAAUCAGUCUGGCUAGUGGUCUGUCUAUUUUGUUGAUCUUUUCAAAAAACCAGCUCUUGGAUUUAUUGAUUUUUUGAAGGGUUUUUCGUGUCUCAAUCUCCUUCAGCUCAGCUCUGAUCUUAGUUAUUUCUUGUCUUCUGCUGGGUUUUGAGUUUUUUUGAUCUUGCUGCUCUAGCUCUUUCAAUUUUGACGAUAGGGUGUCAAUUUUGGAUUUCUCCAUUCUCCUCAUAUGGGCACUUAUUGCUAUAUACUUUCCUCUAGAGACUGCUUUAAAUGUGUCCCAGAGGUUCUGGCACGUUGUGUCUUCGUUCUCAUUGGUUUCGAAGAACUUCUUUAUUUCUGCCUUCAUUUCGUUGUUUACCCAGUCAACAUUCAAGAGCCAGUUGUUCAGUUUCCAUGAAGCUGUGUGGUUCUGGGUCUGUUUCUGAAUUCUGAGUUCUAACUUGAUUGCACUAUGGUCUGAGAGGCUGUUUGUUAUGAUUUCAGUUGUUUUGCAUUUGUUGAGCAGUGC
ensembl:lncRNA